rnacentral:lncRNA from 1 species
UUUUCUUUACCAUCAAAUGUCCUGGUCAAACUCCCAUCUUGAUAAAAUAUUAGCAAAUCUCACAUUCGCAUACUUUAUUUAGCUCCCCAUAAUCAGUUAAUCACAUCUCAUCUCAUAAUCCAAACUCUAAUCACUAUUCAAAGGACUGAAACAAACACAAAGAAGAAGACAUAGGAGUGUGUAUAAUUGGUGAAGACGCCAAAACAGAAGCAAAAGCAAAAACUCACACACCACUUUCCUUUCUUCUUCUUAACUCCAACAAAAAUGGCCAACACCCAAACAAGACCUAAUUAAACAAAAGAAAAUCAGAGAAAAAGACCACUUACCACAGAUGACAACCCACAAACGGCCAAGGUAGCGAAGCAGAAGCAGCGAAGCACAACCCAUAAUCAGUCAAGGCAGUGAAACAGAAGUAGCGAGGUAGAAGCAGCAAAGCAGAAGCAGAACAGGGGAGAAGCAGCGAACCAGAAGCAGAAGCAAAACAGGGGAGAAGCAAGGAGGCCACAGAGAACGGAGAAGCAGUGACACCACAGAGAGGGGAGAAGUAGCGAUGCUGCAGAGAGGAGACACUCAGCGAUGCUGGGAAGAAGGACGCAGCGACAAUUUCGGGAAGAAGGAUGCAGCAACGAUUUCGGGAAGAAGGACAGCGCACCGGGAACUCUUUCCUUCGACAGUGGAUUAGUCCUACAUGGUGAGCUGCGAUGCGAUGAUGGCUUUGAGUCUGAUGGCCUCGAUUGAUGUGGGUUAGGGUUGAUGGUGCAGGGAGGAAGAGCGCGCUCUGAUGGUUUGUUUUGAAUAGAUUAGAGUCAUUGGUUAUGUUACAGUUUAUC